rnacentral:rRNA from 1 species
CCUACGGGAGGCAGCAGUGGGGAAUCUUGCGCAAUGGGCGAAAGCCUGACGCAGCCAUGCCGCGUGAAUGAUGAAGGUCUUAGGAUUGUAAAAUUCUUUCACCGGGGACGAUAACGACGGUACCCGGAGAAGAAGCCCCGGCUAACUUCGUGCCAGCAGCCGCGGUAAUACGAAGGGGGCUAGCGUUGCUCGGAAUUACUGGGCGUAAAGGGAGCGUAGGCGGAUAGUUUAGUCAGAGGUGAAAGCCCAGGGCUCAACCUUGGAAUUGCCUUUGAUACUGGCUAUCUUGAGUGUGGGAGAGGUAUGUGGAACUCCGAGUGUAGAGGUGAAAUUCGUAGAUAUUCGGAAGAACACCAGUGGCGAAGGCGACAUACUGGCCCAUUACUGACGCUGAGGCUCGAAAGCGUGGGGAGCAAACAGGAUUAGAUACCCUGGUAGUCCACGCUGUAAACGAUGAGUGCUAGUUGUCGGCAUGCAUGCAUGUCGGUGACGCAACUAACGACAUAAGACACUCCGUCCGUCGGGUAGGUACGGUCGCGAGAAUUAAACGUAACAAUAGAAGUUAGACGGCGUGAGACGUGCCGACGGACGACGACGAGGGAGGUUAGG